rnacentral:misc_RNA from 1 species
CUCCCACCCGUGUCUACCGUUACCGCGUUGCUUUGGCGGGCCCACUGGGCCCAGGUCCGGUCGCACGGGGGGCUGUUGCCCCCGGGCCCGCGCCCGCUGAAGCGCCCCCGAACCCUGUGUGAAUAGUGAGUCUGAGUCCCGAUUGAAUCGUUAAAACUUUCAACAACGGAUCUCUUGGUUCCGGCAUCGAUGAAGAACGCAGCGAAAUGCGAUAAGUAAUGUGAAUUGCAGAAUUCCGUGAAUCAUCGAAUCUUUGAACGCACAUUGCGCCCUCUGGCAUUCCGGAGGGCAUGCCUGUCCGAGCGUCAUUUCUGCCCUCCAGCGCGUGUUGGGUCUUGGGCGCUGUCCCCCUGGGGACACGCCCCAAAGGCAGUGGCGACGCCGCGUCGAGUCCUCGAGCGUAUGGAGCUUGGUCACCUGCUCGGGAGGGAUUCGCCGGCCUCGGUCUUCCCCGAUGGGCCCCGUACAGGGCCGAU